CUCAGCCACCACACCCUACCAGACCUCGUGAUGACAGAAGGUGCUGCCACUGGUAGAUUUCACAGCAGGCAGUAGUCAUCCCUAGAACUGUGGACACAAGGUCCACCCCCAGCCAAGACUCGAUUCUGAGCUCCCUCCCUCCCAUGCACACACUGCAUGGGGCUUCCUGCCUGGGCCAGUCCUCACGCUCUGCUGCUGUUCUCUGGGUCCCAGGAGACUGACCACUGCAAGCUGUAUUUCCCAGGAUAUUUUUCCUCCUCCCUCUCUGCCUUGGGCAGUAUCUCAGCAUCUCUUCUCUGGCUCCAGCUCCCAACAGAUGACCCUAGUGCCUCCUCUUCGGUUUAAAAAAAAAAAAAUACGACCUCCUCCCUGUUGACCUCCAGUUUAGAAGUGGUACUGGUUUUCUGCUAUCACAAUUCUUUGGAUUAUCUCACCAUCCAUUGUUUGGCUUCUCAGCUCUUUUGUCUCCUGUAUAACCAGUUCCCUGCAUAUUCCCUCUGUUUCAAAUGCUCAGCAGGGUUUCUCUUUUCUGGAUUAUACUUUUCUGGUAUACUGACAUAUUCC
rnacentral:lncRNA from 1 species